GAAAAGGCCGGAACGCAUUAAUGGGCCAUUUAAGAACUGCCUGCCUCCUAAACCUAUUUUCAGACUGUGAAGCAGGAAGGCAGUGAGGCAUGGUAAAGGGCACUAAUUUGAAGUCAGAAGACCUGGGCUGUGCCAAUGACUCAUUGUAAUCUUGGGAAAGUCCUUUCCCUUCUCUAGACAUCAGGGUCUCAUUCACACUGGGUAAAGGGGUGGGGGUGGAAAGCAGGAAUUAGACUUGAUAACUACUAAAGGCCCUUUUAGAUUUGACAUUUUAGGCUUAAUUAUAACUCCACCUUCCACACCCAGGUGUGGAAUUAUAACUCCACCUCCCACAAUCUCCAGGAUGCACCAAAGGACCUAACUGGACCAAACCUCCGAGUUCUUGACUACAGCAUUCCACAUGAAUGGGAUCAUAUAACAGUGUAUUAGAUGCAUUAUUGGGACUGCUGGCAAUAUGUCCGAAUAAAAACUGCACCAGUCUGCAGCUCCCAGUGAUAUUGAUGAAAAAGAUUUAUUCUCCACUCCACGUGGCCACUGUCAGAGGAUAGAGGAGGUGUGGCAUCAGUGAUUCAAGACUGUAUUUUCUGCCAUCUUUCAGUGCCUCUUUCAGCAAUAUGGAGCUAAAGCCAUGUACCGUGAUUGCUCACCUGAUUUUUAGUUCCUAUGAAGAUGCUUUGUGUGUAAGUAUGUGCAGACAGAGUUAUUAAAUUGGUGUUCUUGCAGGGGGGACAAUCGGUGGAGCCUUCUAUUUGGCCAUCUUGUUCCACUCAUCUUGUUUUUAUUUCUUGUGGGUACAUACCUAGUAGUAAAAUUGAUGGACCAUAUGUAACUUUAUAUUAAAUAUUUGAGGAAGUGCCAGACUGUUUUUUAUAGUGGCUCUGCUAUUUUACAUUUCUUCCAGCAGUGUAUGUGUGCUCCAAACUUUCCACGUUGUUGACAACACUUAUUAUUGUUUUCUUUUUUUAUUAUUGUUUUCCCUUUUUUUAUUAUAGCCAUGUGCUAUAAAUAUGCUCAUUGACUAUGUUAAUUUUUUUGAUAAAUAUUUAUUUAAUUCCUUUGUCUAUUUAAAAAUACUGUGUUAUUUGGCUUUUUACUGUCAAGUGUUAAGAGGCUUUUAUGUAUUUUAUAUACAAAUUCCUUACCAAAAUUAUGCUUUCAAAACAUUUUCUCUCAUUCUUUGGGUUGUUUUUCACUUUUAUUAUGAUAUUUUUGAAGCAUAUAAACUUUUUAUUUCUGAUAAAGUCCAAUUUAUUAAUAGUUUGCUGUGUGUGCUUUGAAGUCAUACUGCAUUUUCACUAAAGGUCAUAAAGAUUUAUUCCUGUGUUGCUGU
rnacentral:lncRNA from 1 species